rnacentral:tRNA from 1 species
GCCGUUAGCUCAGUCGGUAGAGCACCAGCCUUUUAAGCUGAGGGUCG